rnacentral:misc_RNA from 1 species
GUGAAUCAUCGAAUCUUUGAACGCACCCUGCACCUUUUGGCUCGUCCGGAAGGUCUGCCUGUUUGAGUAGAUGAAAUAAGCAUCAAGUGGCAAACUGCCGUCGAACAGUAGCCAGCUUGGGUUUGAGCUUUCCGGUGUCCGCUGCAUCUGCAGUAACCCUGGUGGCUUUAAAUGCAUGAUUUCGGAGCGAGCGUGCCUGGUGGCGCGAACGGUGUUUUAGUCAGGUCAGCGAUGACCGGUCAAGCACGCCAGUAGCGGCACUCUAAAGGUGCGCCUGCUUCCGACUAUUGGGGCAGAGGU